GCAGCCCUGCACACAGGGGAGAGAAGAGGGGAUUAAAGCGGUGAGGAUUGCAGCUGCACAGACAGAAAGAGAGCAGAGGGAGGGAGACGGGCUUACAGAUAAAAAAGGGACAGACUGGAAACCAAUAAUGCGGCGCUGAUUUAAAAGGAUGUUCCUGUCUCUGUCCUGGAAAGCAGCCCUCACUGUGGAGCAGCGGCGUUGAAAGUGCUGGAAACUGGCCUCACUCGCCCGUCGGACGCAAGACAGUUGAGAAGUGGAGGGACGACGUCCAAAGCACACAAGUGGGGCAAAUGAAAGCCAUUUGUUUUAGA
ensembl:lncRNA